CGCGUAGGUGGUAGUGAAAGUCUAUGGUGGAAUCUUAGGGCUUAACCCUAAAACUGCCUUGGAAACUUCAUUACUUGAGUCAGUGAGGGGAGGGUAGAAUUCCUGGUGUAGCGGUGAAAUGCGUAGAUAUCAGGAGGAAGGCCGGUGGCGAAGGCGGCCCUCUGGCGCUGAACUGACGCUGAGGCGCGAAAGCGUGGGUAGCAAACAGGAUUAGAUACCCUGGUAGUCCACGCCCUAAACGGUGGGUACUAGGUGUAGGGCUCGUAAGGGUUCUGUGCCGAAGGGAAACCAUUAAGUACCCCCGCCUGGGGAGUACGGCCGCAAGGUUGAA
rnacentral:rRNA from 1 species